ACGCAAGGGGUCUGAUUCCUGGGCUUAGGCCGUUAACCCGGACACUGUUAAGGAAACUAGCAUUUGAACUGGAGUUUCAGUGAGACAAUCCAUGGAAACGUUCUUAGCACAGAGCCUGGCCUCUGCAGUAAACACCUCAGUGAUGUUCCCUGCAGCUUAUCUGUCCCCUCGGCAGGAGCAGAAUGGGGUUUGGGGGAAGAACAUAUAGGCUGUGGGAUCACGCUGAGCUUCCACAUCUUCAUUUCUUUUUUGAAGAUGAAAAAGGCCACAUCCCUUUUAGAGUUUUGUUUGGAUGACGACAGAAAACAGUGCUGAAGAGGCUGGCGCACGGGCCGGUCUUUAGUGGGGGCUCAAUCCCCUCGUAUCCCAGGUUUAUCCCCAUGCAGACUACAUUCUCCGCACCGAGUCGCUUUUCAACCCACUGGGGUUGGGCUUUGGCCCUUGGCCAUCGCUGCAACUGUUCUGCAGAUACACGCACCUCCAGGGUGGUUGUGAGGCGCAUGUGUGAUCUUCGCUUGGCGUAAAGAAUGUGACGGCGUUUGUGAUUAGUGAUGAAGACCCAACUGCAACAUUCCGCAGGCCCUGGAAAUUCUCCCCCUUCUGGAGUUUUCUGUGGACCAGCCAUCACAUUCAGAGUCAACAAAGUGACAGAGAAGAUGUUAAUCAGGUCAAAAAUCCUGAGCCAGGAUUCUCACCCGAGUUUGCAAGGCUGGAUAAAAAAGUGUAAAUGGAGUUCCCCAUUGUGGCUCAGCGGUGAGCGAACUCGACGAGCAUCCACGAGGACGCGGGUUGUUCGAUCCCUGGCCUCACUCAGUGGGUUAAGGAUCUGGCAUUGCCUGUGAGCUGUGGUGUAUGUUGCAGACAGGGCUCCGAUCCCCUGUUGCUGUGGCUGUGGCGCAGGCGGGUGGCUACAGCUCUGAAUGGACCCCUAGCCUGGGAACCUCCACAUGCCGCGGGUGCAGCCCUAAAAGACAAAAAGAACAACAACAAAAAAAGUGUGGAUGGAAACCAGGAAACUGAAAAACCCUUUAACAGCCAAAUCCUGGACUGAAAGUGGUUUGCAGCUAACCCACACCCAAGAAGGUGGAGCAAGGAAUGAGACAGAUGAAGCCUGCAACGCCGUUUUUCAGCAACGGCAAAGAAAUGGCACUCACGCCAGACCCUCUGAAUGACGUCCCGGGGAAAGGAAUUGAGAGCAAACUGAAUUGGGAGUAGGAGUUUCCUCAUCGCCUAGAGACGCUUUCCUCUGAUACUAAGACCCUGGCACACUGUUGCUUUCAUCACAGUUCACAGAAUCUCAGAUCUGGACGGAUGAGGUUGUCUCAGAAUCCUGGCAUCUUUAGAUGCCUUUCCUUCCAAAGGAUUCAUGGUAGGAUCCAGAAUUCUGGCCGAGCAUCUGGUAUACCUGAUACCCUGAUAUUGUAUCAAUAUAUUGUAGCUAUUCAAAACAAGGACCUCCAAGGAGUUCCCCUGGUGCCACCGUAGAGCAUUGAUCUGGGUUGUCUCUGUGGAGGCACCGGUGCCAUCCCAGGCUCCCAGUGUGGCUGCAGCUGUGGUGUAGGUCCCAGAUCCCUGCGGUCUUACCUCCUUAUUGGCUAUGUUACCGGCCUGAAAUAAUAAUCAGCUUCUAAGAGGCUUCUGCCGUGUGGUCCCCUCCAUCUUCAAACCAGCAACGGAGAACUCCUUGCAUGUUAAGUACGGUACUUCAGCUCUUUUUAUCCAGAAAGGGUCCCCAUCCUUUUAAAGAACUUGCCUGAGGCCAAGCCCACUAAGCAUAACCUCCCUGUCUUAAACUCAGUUUUGCCAAACAGCAUGAGCCCAUCACCAAAGAGAUGGCCCAUCAUAUCUGCAGCUUUCUCUUACACCGAGGACAGAGAAGAUGACACAGAUGACUGGGAGUCAAUUUAGAAUCCUGUCCACCAUAGUAACCAUCCAAAUACUGCUCCUAGAUUUAGCCUCCUAAAAAUUAGUUCAGAAACAUUGUACGUUUUCUCAAAAGCCAGUAAGUGGUUGCUCAUUACCAACCAAAUUUAAGCUAAACAAAAUAAAUCCACAGUUCAGUAUUCA
rnacentral:lncRNA from 1 species